AGCCUUCUCUAUCCGUGCUGAGAUUUCGUCACACACCAGAACACAAGAGUUGAUGAGAUUAUCAAGAUAAGUGAAGCG
rnacentral:pre_miRNA from 1 species